rnacentral:lncRNA from 1 species
CGUGUAAUUUAUUGAUUGAUUUUUAUUUUCUAACUUUUCUUCUGCCAUUUAUCAUUUUAUUGUAAUUUUUUAAUUUAAUUUUCUUAACUUCUUUAUGUAGUUUUUUAAUUAUUUUAAUUUUAGUGUAAUGACUUCUUUUGUAUUUUUUUCUUUAAAUUCAGAUUUUAAACAAAAAUUUCUUUCAUUUUCUUUCUCGACUGCAUCAUAACUUUUAAUUUUGAUUAUGUUGCAAACGUGAAUGAUUCUUUUUUUUUUUUCUAACACUUCCAUUUUCUUCCACCUAAGAUUCAUUAUAGUUCAUUUUUUUGUUUUUUGGUCGUUCUUUUCCUAACUUUAUUUGGUUCAGGUGAAAUGAGAAAUGAAACUAUAAUACAAUGAAUUUCAUUUAUUUGUUCGAAGGCAGGCGGAAAGAAAAUUUGUUACAAAUUGGUAGAUCCCAUCUGGGAUGACUUCCCCUCUAUGCAUCAUUUGAAACAAAAUUCAAUUGUAAAAGACAACAAGCUCUUUGUGUCAUCUUUGUUUUGCUUGAUUAUUAAAAAGACAACAAUUUAAGUGUAAAAUUAAUUUAUCAACAAGUUUUAUUUUUCUCUACGUCUCUUUGCUGUUAUAGGUGACUAUUUCUCCAACAACUUCACAUCAUUGCACGUGCUUUAUUUUAUGCUUCAAAGUGAACUUUAGGAGUUAUGCUAAUAUUUAUCUUUCACAAUCACAACAUGAUUUUUCUAUUUUAUUUUAAGUGUAUUUUUAGUUUUAAGAAAUUGUGCUAAUAUAUUGAAGAGUUGAUGUCUAAUUCAACUUUUGAUUGUGUUUAUUGUUUAAUAAUACGAAGAAAUAUACGUAAUAUUUUCU